UACGUAGGGGGCAAGCGUUGUCCGGAUUUAUUGGGCGUAAAGAGCGUGUAGGCGGCCAGGUAGGUCUGCUGUGAAAACUCGAGGCUUAACCUCGAGAUGUCGGCGGAAACCAUCUGGCUAGAGUCCGGAAGAGGAGAGUGGAAUUCCUGGUGUAGCGGUGAAAUUCGUAGAUAUUAGGAAGAACACCAGUGGCGAAGGCGGCUCACUGGUCCGGUACUGACGCUGAGGUGCGAAAGCGUGGGGAGCAAACAGG
rnacentral:rRNA from 1 species